AUAGUUAUUGUAGUAGUCGGGGUAAAAUAAUAUAUGUCUUCACGAUUCAACCUCUGCUUGGAGAAUAUCCAACACUAGCAUUCGAGCAGCCUUACUUAAAAUCAUGUUUAUCACUUCACAUGUACAUAUAUCUACCUUAUGUUUCUAUCAUGUAUUUACAAUUAGCAUUCGGGCAUGCACGAACUUUUCAAUACAGUUUCAUCAUAUUAGAUCUCUGAGUUAAGUUUGCGAUAAAUUUUCUAAUCUAACAACGAACUUGCACGUUCAAAACGUGUAUAUUUGUCACCUGGAUGGAUUAAAUCUUAUGCUUAGAUACAGAUACACGUAAAUGGUUUGGGCGUUACUGGUUCUUCAAGUCAAGACAAAAGUUUGGUCGACAAUGACAAGGGAACGUGGCAAUGGCUGAAAACGGUGUGACGCGCUCAAUAACGAACAUUUGCAUGUCAUUUGAAUAACAAUGCCACGCCGUUGACGGUAAGAAUGGACUCCAUGUCUUGUAGUAGUCUUACUACACUAGAUUGAUGGUACUUGUGAUAAGUUGUGAGGUAUGCUGGCUUGGAAAGGUCGCUCAUAUUUUUAGUACGGCCAGCAUUUACAAAUGUUAUGAUUCGUCAGAAAUACAAAAUGGCCGCCGUCACAUGUAAGGGACUUUGUUGAUGCGGCGUUUCAAGUGUUUUCUGCCAUUUGAACUUCUGUCCAGGAGUCGACUAGACCAGACUGUGUACCACCUGCCCUGGCUGGUUACUAUUAGGGACACACAGAACGAUUGUACAUGUCACCAAUAUGGUUCCGUUCUCUGAUUGCAAGGGCAAAAGACCCCUCGUGAUUGGUCUAGUCGUGGGAUUCAUUCUCUGCAACUUUGUAUACUUCCCCACGUACUUUUAUCUCGGAGAACUCAGAACCCAGCCGCUGUGUCACGCUGAACUGAUUAAAAGACUUUCACAACCAACCGAAGUCCCAACCCCCAUCCCGAACACGACCGCCGGCCCUACUAGACCCCCCGGCCCGGUCCACCCGGCACCGUUCAAUGUUACCAACCCGCUGAGUGGGUACGUCAACGUUCUGAAGGGUAGAGAGGUGAGUCUGUCGACUUCUAAUUGAUUACAUGUA